GACGAACGCUGGCGGCGUGCUUAACACAUGCAAGUCGAACGGAAAGGCCUGCUUUCCCUUGUGGAUUGCGGGUACUCGAGUGGCGAACGGGUGAGUAACACGUGAGUGAUCUGCCCCCAACUUGGGUAUAAGCCUGGGAAACUGGGUCUAAUUCCCGAUAGGACUGCAGGGUGGUGCCUGUGGUGGAAAACGAUUUUCUAGUGGUUGGGGAUGAGCUCGCGGCCUAUCAGCUUGUUGGUGGGGUAAUGGGCUACCAAGGCGGCGACGGGUAGCCGGCCGGAGAGGGUGGACGGCCACAUUGGGACUGAGAUACGGCCCAGACUCCUACGGGAGGCAGCAGUGGGGAAUAUUGCACAAUGGGCGGAAGCCUGAUGCAGCGACGCCGCGUGGGGGAUGACGGCCUUCGGGUUGUAAACUCCUUUCGACCGCGAGGAAGCCACCUGGUUGGAAGGGUGGUGACGGUAGUGGUAGAAGAAGCACCGGCUAACUACGUG
rnacentral:rRNA from 1 species